rnacentral:lncRNA from 1 species
GGAUGACUAGGGAUGAAAUGUUUUGAUUGGAAAGGAAGAUGGCCUGACUUUUGUCUCGUCUCUUGCAUGAUUUCCUAAAAGAAACUUUGCAUAAUCAAAUAAAAAACAUCUUACACAUGUCUGAAUUGAUAGGUUGAGGGAAUGUCUGUCCUUCCAUCUCUCCUUUGAACACCCAAUAAGCUUUGCCGAUUUGAAGCAAAUUUGCCUUCGACUUCGUCUUUCAUCGCUUUAGCACUUUGUUUCCUUUUUCAGAAGAUCGGUGGCGGAUCCUUUUGUUAUGAACAUAGGCCAUGCGUUUUGACAACGUUGGUCAUGGCACAUAGCAUUAUC